rnacentral:rRNA from 1 species
UACAGAGGGGGCAAGCGUUGUUCGGAAUUACUGGGCGUAAAGGGCGCGUAGGCGGCCUUCUAAGUCGAACGUGAAAUCCCCGGGCUCAACCCGGGAACUGCGUCCGAUACUGGAAGGCUUGAAUCCGGGAGAGGGAUGCGGAAUUCCAGGUGUAGCGGUGAAAUGCGUAGAUAUCAGGAGGAACACCGGUGGCGAAGGCGGGUCCUGGCCGUACGGUCGUA